GGAAAGUCCUUCAAACUUUGUCCUUGUUCACGCUCAUAAGAGCUGAACGGUGAGAUACAUCACACUCAUAAUAACCCACUGGAUAACAACAACGCUGAAAUCAACAAGGUUACGACCCUGUGCCUGUGAUUACUAGGGUGAACAGGUUACCGCAGCAGGAUAACAUCUCGUUGCUAGGCAUCGCUGUAGGGAUGGCGAGAUCAACCUUUACCAGAGUGCUGGAGUACCCAGUGGCGAUCCGUCAUUCAGGGAAGGCACAGCAGUGCCCCACGUGCUUUGAGCCCCAUCUGUUUAGACAAAAUAUAUAUUUAUUUA